AUGGGCCCAUAACAAAGACAUAACACAACCACACAGUCAAAUAUGGUGUACUAGACUACUGUUGUGUAAAUUGACAAAAGCCAAUGCAUAGUAGGUGGUGUUUCCGAUAGACGACCACAACCUUCUAUUUUAAUUUCUUCUAUGGAAUAAAGAUUUUAAGUUCCGGACUUUAGCAUUUUUACCAUUGGAUGUUGCCUAAUGCAUGUGUAGAUUUCAAGUUCCAUGAUGAUCAUUCCGGUGGUGUAAAAUGAUGAGCAAAUCUUCAGCAUCAAAUAUUGCAUCAUUCAAGUCUUCAAGCCAUUGUUUAUCAUGAAUAUCCUUGAACUGCUUCUGUUCUGCAUCAACCAGCACAGCUUGAAGAGCUGAUAGUGUUGUUUCAAAUGAAAACACGAAACUCCGAGAAGGUUUGAACAAAAGCAGACAGAAAUGUAUUUCCUCCAACCAAAACUGCAGCCAUCUCUUACAAGUUGAGUGAAGUUAGACAUAACUAAUUGUAUGGUAGCUUGGAUAUCUAUCAGAAAAGGAUUGAAAACAUCAAUGUUAUGUGAGAGACUUGGAAUACAUUCUUUUUUGUAACAAAUAUUAUAGUAAUGUGGUACAUGAGCUGCACAUAUGGAAUACAUUCACACUGUUACUUUUUGUGGACUUUGUAGAACUAAGCAAAUAAAAGAAGAUCGAAAAGAAUAAACACUGUUGUCCAAUUAAAUAUUCGUGGACAGUGUACAAAGUGGUUUUGUACAAAUUUAUAGAGAGAGUGAGAGAAACUCGAUGCAAAUGUAGAUAUCUUCAAGAAACUUUCAUGCACUUAUGGCUGUACUGCAUGAGAAAGAGUAGUCUUGGCCACAGGAGAGGCAUACAAGUUGUAUACCUCUUCAAGAAACUUUCUUUAAUUGAAUAUUAGCUAUUAUGAUUAAGUUAAUGAGAAUUUUAUGUUAAGGUUA